rnacentral:rRNA from 1 species
AUUGAACGCUGGCGGCAGGCUUAACACAUGCAAGUCGAGCGGAGCGGCGGACGGGUGAGUAAUGCCUAGGAAUCUGCCUGGUAGUGGGGGAUCACGUCCGGAAACGGGCGCUCAUACCGCAUACGAUCAGGUGAGCCUAGGUCGGAUUAGCUAGUUGGGUGGGUAAAGGCCUACCAAGGCGACGAUCCGUAACUGGUCUGAGAGGAUGAUCAGUCACACUGGAACUGCGAAACGGUCCAGACUCCUACGGGAGGCAGCAGUGGGGAAUAUUGGACAAUGUGCGAAAGCCUGAUCCAGCCAUGCCGCGUGAGUGAAGAAGGUCUUCGGAUUGUAAAGCACUUUAAGUUGGGAGGCGGUACCAACAGAAUAAGCACCGGCGAACUUCGUGCCAGCAGCCGCGGUAAUAC